rnacentral:lncRNA from 1 species
GUUGGUGGUGGUUUCACGUCAGAUUAAGACGUGACACCUUACUAAUGAAGUCGAGACAAUUAGCUUAAAUUAUUUCAACGCAUUUGAAAUUUCCACUAAUGACUAUAAUUCUUUUUCCUAAUUACUACGAUAAUUAAUAACAUACAAUUGAAAUAAUUAAUAUUAGCACUUGGCAAUAAAUAAUUAAAUUUCAUUAACAUUAAAUAAUAAUUGAAUAUGGCUUUGUACAUCGAUGACGCCAACAACAAGGGGACCGCGAUUAUCACUCUUUAAGUUGCUUUUAAAAUUGAUUUUAAUAGUGAUAUGAUUAUUGUAGUGUUUUUAUUUUUUAUAUUAAAAUUAAGUGAUUUGUUAUAAUAAACUUAGUUGAGUUUAAUGGUAUUACUACAUAAAUUGAAUAGUUAUCAAAUAUUUUAAUAUUUUUAUGGCAACCGUUGACGUGGCAUUUAUUUGUUGUAUGAUGGAUUUUAAAAUUUAUAAAAUUAUUUGUUAUUAAAUUACCCCCAGAUGCUACAUCACCUGAAACUUACUAAAGUUAUGAAGACAUGUGUGUGUGGACUGAAAUGAAGAAUAUGGAAAAGUUUAGAGCUGUUGUGCAGAUUGACUUCAGUUGAUGGGGUCUAUUAGAUAUUGUCUGCUGACGUGGCAUGAAUUCGUUAUAAUCUGUUAUAACGAGUUCAGUAUAUCAGUAUACAAUAGAGCUGAUGGAUGGUGCCUGUUUUAGAGUCUUUUUUAUAUUCAUUUGUUCAUCAUUUUGCACAAGAUAUGUUCCAUUGUGAUAUGUGUAAAGUCUUAUGUAAAUCCACUUAUGAUUGGAUUAGUUCUUGAUUAAUAACAACGAGUAAAUUUUCCUUCAAGUGUGCUGGUCUGUGCCCCUGUUUUUUGUUCUAAUAUUGUUUCUUUGUUUUGGCAUUUCAUUUCGAUUGUGUUCUUGGUGUUUCUACUCAUCAAGAUUUAUGAGUCUUGUUGAUAUUAAAGACUUAAUAGUCUUAACAAGUGGUAUCAGAGCCUGGUGAAUCUCAGCCAUGUCUCUUUCGAAGCAUGAAAUUGAAAAAUUCACCAUUGGUGGUGAUUUCUCACUUUCGAAAUUAAAAAUGAGGGCUCUCCUUGUGCAUCAGGGGCUUGAAUUUUCUCUGGAAGAAGAUAAUCUAGAGGCUGCUACAAGUUCUGUGACUGAUGAUAAGAAGAGACAAAUCCAAAACCGAGCUCGUAGCACUCUAAUUUUGAGUCUUGGUGACUCAAUCUUGAGAAAGAUUUCUGAAGAGAAGACAACCUUAGGGAUUUGGAACAAGGUAGAAGCUUUGUGUACAAAGAAGUCCUUAGCUCACAGACUAUUCUUGAAGAAAAAGUUAUACACAUUCUCGAUGAGAGAAGGAGUCACAAUUCAAGAUCACAUUGAUACCUUCAACAAGAUCAUUCUUGAUCUUGAAGGGGUGGAAAAUGUGACAAUAAGUGAUGAAGAUAAAGCCUUCUUCUUGCUAAGUUCCUUACCAAAGUCUUACGAAGGCUUUGUAGAUACAAUGCUUUAUGGCAGAACAACAUUGACUCUUGAAGAUGUUAAAGCAUCUCUAAGUUCAAAAGAGAUUCAGAAGAACAAUGAGAUUGAAAGCUGAUUGCCAGAUCAGAAAAGAAGAAAUAUCAGAAGAAUAAAAAUCAGGGAAAAUGACAUGGAAAGAAUUAAGAAAUGCAGACAAGAAGAAAAAAAAAGAGAAAAUGCUUCUACUGCAGGAAGGAAGGGCAUUACAUCAGGGAUUGUCUUAAAAAGAAAAAGAAAGAAAGUCAAGAGAAGUUAGGGGAUGCAGUUGUAGCCUCUGAUGAUGCCUCUGAUGGAUAUCACAGUGCUGAUUUACUUGUGGCCUCAAAUAGCAAUACUAAAGGUCAGUGGGUCAUAGACUCUAAGUGCUCUUUUCACUUGUGUCCUGAUAAAACCAUAUUUUACAAAUAUGAAGUUGUUGAUGGUGGUAGAGUCUUAAUGGGAAACAAUAAUGUGUGUAAUCUUGUUGGUGUUGGUUCUGUGAAGAUCAAGAUAUUUGAUGGAACUGUAAGAGCUCUACAUGAGGUGAGGCAUGCUCCUAAAGAUGGCCAAUGGGUCGAGCGGCACAUGGCACGGCACGUGUCCGUACGGCACGGCACGGCAUGAGCACGUUUCGGUGAGGCACGAGGCAUGGCACGGCACGCACGUGGGCCGUGCCGAGCCUAGAAUUUUAGGCACGCGGGCCUUAAAGCACGGCACAAUUAGAGAUGGGCCAAAGCACGGCACGCGAAAAAGCAUGUAAUAAGCACGGUUCAUUAGUGAGCUAGCACGCGGUCCGUGAGCCAUUAAUAGCACAUGGGCCAAAAUAUAUUUAAGUAAUUUUUUUUAACAAAAUGUAAAUAUAAAAUGUUAUGAAAUUAAAGUACAAUAUCUUGAAAUUAAAUGUUUUAAUAUAUUUUUUAGCAUAGACUUUUAAAAAUUAAUUUAAAUCAUUAAAUCUUAGUUUAAAUAAAUAUUCUAAUCUUUUAUGUUUAUAAUUUAUUAAAUGAAUAAGUAAAUAUCAUGAUUUUAAUAAAUAAAAUUAUAAAUAUCAUAAUUUUAUUUAUGAUAUUUAUUAAAUGAAUAACGUUAUUUAUGAUAUUUAAUUUUAUUUAUGAUAUUUAUUUAAUUAUUUAUUUAUGUUUAUAAUUUAUUAAAUGAAUAAGUAAAUAAUUAAAUAUCAUGAUUUUAAUAAAUAAGGUUAUAAAUAUCAUAAAUUUAUAAAUUAUAAAUAAAAAAUAAAUUUAUAAAUAAAAAAUAAAAAAUAAAUUUUUUUACAAAAUUAAUAAUAAAAUAUUUUUCAUAUUAAUAUUAAAUCAUAACUUAGUUAAUAUUUAAUAGAGAUACGUUUCAUUUGUGAAUGAAAUAUUUUCCAUUUUAUACACAAGAAAAAUUAUGAUAAAUUAAAAUUUAUAUUUUUAUUAAAUGAAAUUAAAGUACAAUUAUAAUAUUAGUAAUUCAAAUAAAAUUAGGUGUAAUUUGCAUCACUACAGUAAACAGUACAUCCCAACUAGGUUGGCACUUAUUGAACCAUCUAUCAUUUGCAAAUUUACAACCUUCUCACUAAUAAAAAUUGUUUCAAAAAGUUACAAGAAAAAAAAAUCACUAGUCUUUGGAAGUGGCUUCAAUGUUCAGUACUCUGCAUAAUCUGGAUCCACUUCAUCUUGAUCAACAUUAACUCUCAAUUUGUUUAAUUAAAGCAUUUUGCCAAUCUUAUUGCACUCGGCGUUCAGCAUCUUCCUAAUCUUUCAAACACAAUAAAGAGUCUAAUGUCUCUGAUGACAAUCUUGACCGAUGUUCAUCUAGAAAUUAAUUAUUAUAAUGAUUAUUCGAGGAUUGUAUUUUUAAUUUUAAUUAAUUAUUAUUAUGAUCUAUGGAAUUAAAUUUAUGUAUUGUUGUGUUAUGAAUUAUGAUUGAUUAUUGUGAAAUAAAAUAUAUAGUUGUGAAAUUGUGAUAAACUAAUAAUAAAAUGUUAAUUGCUCUCUUAAUAAAAAUUAAUAUGAUUAUGAUUGUGAAUAUUAUUAUUAUUAUUAUUAUUAUUAUUAUGUUGGUGGGCUUAAAAAAGCACGUCAGGCACAUGGGCUUUUUUAGGCACGCUAAAAAAAAAAAAAGUUGGUGGGCUUUUUUUGGGCACGGCACGAGAGGGCUCGUGCCGUGGGCCGUGCCGGGCUCAACUGAAAAAAAUGUAGGCACGGCACGGCACGACCCACCAAUUUGGUGGGCCGUGCCGUGCCGGCCCACGAGCCCUUGUGGGCCGACACUGCCGGCACAGCCCAUUGGCCAUAGUUACAUGCUCCUAGGCUAAAGAGAAAUCUAAUCUCUUUAGGCAUGCUAGACAGCUUAGGGUAUUUCUUUAAAUCAGAAAGUGGUGGUUUAUAGAUAAGAAAGGGGACUGAGAUAGUGAUGAAGGGGGUUAAAGAGAAUGGCUUACAUGUAUUGUAAGGCUCAUCAGUGCUUGUUCAAGAGGGAAUUUCUGCUCUUUCUGAGGAAGAUAUAACCAAGUUAUGACAUCUUAGACUUGGUCAUAUGAGUGUCAAAGGGAUGCAAGAGCUCAGCAAACAAGGGCUACUUGGUGGGGAUAGAAUCCAGCAACUGGAAUUAUGUGAAAACUGCAUUUUUGGCAAAGCUCACAGGUCCAAGUUUCACAAGGGGGAGCAUAUGUCUAAGCAAGUUUUGGACUAUGCACAUGCUGACCUUUGGGGGCCUGCUCAAGUCCCAUCCUUGAGUGGUGGCAGGUAUUUCAUAUCACUAAUUGAUGAUUACUCAAGGAAGAUGUGGGUCUACAUACUCAAGACCAAAGAUCAAGCCUAGGAAAAAAUUCAAGGUAUAGAAAUCUUUGGUAGAAAAUCAAUUUGGAUUCAAGCUCAAAUGCUUGAGAACUGAUAAUGGUUUGGAAUUUUAUAGCAAAGAAUUUGAGGAAUAUUACAAAAAAACAUGGCAUAAAAAGGCACAAAACAGUCAGGUUCACCCCCCAGCAGAAUGGCUUGGCUGAGAGGAUGAACAUGACCUUGGUAGAUAAGACCAGAUGUAUGUUGAUAAAUUCAAAGCUUCCAAGAAGCUUUUGGGUAGAAGCUGUCAAUACAACAAGUUAUUUGGUUAACAGAAGCCCAUAUUCUGCAAUUGGCUUCAAGACACCAGAAGAAUUGUGGAAGGGAAAACCUGCAAAUUACCAAAAUCUCAGUGUUUUUGGAUGCCCUGCUUAUCUCCACAUCAAUCAAGGCAAGCUGGAAGCUAGGGCCUUGAAAGGAGUCUUUGUUGGAUAUCCUGAUGGGGUUAAGGGAUACAUAAUCUGGUGUAGAGAGUAAGGGAAGUGUAUAGUCAGCAGGGAUGUUGUGUUUCAUGAAUUUGGAUUGCUAAAAGAAAAUGCAGAGAAUGAUACUGGACUACAAAAUGAUUCAACAAUUAUCAAACAAUCUGGAACUUCCAAGGUUAAGGUGGAGCUGUUUGGAGAUAAAGACAAUAGAAAAGAGGUAGCUGAUUAUGAAGAGAGGAACACAGCUAAAGUUGAGGAACAUGAGUCAUUAGAGUUACCACAAGCUGACUUGCAGACUUAUCAAUUAGCAAGAGAUGGAGUUAGAAGGGAAGUCAGAGCACUAGUGAGGUAUGGCUAUGUUGACUUAAUUGUUUAUGCAUUGUUGUGUGCUGAUGAUGUGGCAAUUGAAGAGCCUGCUAACUUCUCUGAAGCUAUUGAAAGUGUGCAUUGUGAUAAGUGGCUUGAGGCAAUGCAAGAUGAAAUGGAAUCCCUUCAAAGAAAUCAGACCUGGACACUUGUUCCAAAUCUAGGUAAUAAAAAGUUGAUCAGUUGUAAGUGGAUCUUCAAAAAGAAUAAAGGAAUUCCAGAUGUUGAACCUCCCAAAUAUAAAGCAAGGCUAGUGGCUAGGGGGUUUACAAAGAGAAAGGGUGUAGAUUUCAAUGAAAAAUUUUCCCUUGUUCUUAAGCACAGUUCAAUAAGAAUUUUAUUAGCCAUGGUAGCCUUACUUGACUUUGAGCUUGAGCAAAUGGAUGUAAAAACAGCCUUCCUUCAUGGUAAUCUUAAAGAACAUAUAUUGAUGGCACAACCUAAAGGUUUUGAGUGCAAAGGAAAGGAGGAUUAUGUUUGUUUGCUGCAUAAGUCCUUGUAUGGACUCAAGCAAUCCCCACGACAGUGGUACAUAAGAUUUGAUGAUUUUAUGAUCUCAAAAGGCUAUCACAGAAGCAAAUAUGACAGUUGUGUUUACUUUGGUGGAUCAUAUCAAGGUGGAGUUGCUUAUUUGCUUUUGUAUGUUGACGAUAUGUUAAUUGCAAGCAAAUAUAAGUUGGAGAUAAAGAGGUUGAAGAAUCUGUUGAAGGCUGAGUUUGAAAUGAAGGAUCUCGGCAAUGCCAAAAGAAUCCUUGGGAUGAACAUUACAAGGGGCAGAUCUGCUGACACUUUGUUCUUGAGUUAAGAGAAAUAUAUCAGGAAGGUUCUAAAGAGGUUUGAUAUGCAAGACUAUAAACCUGUCCAAACACCACUUGGUCCCCAAUUCAAGUUGACAGCAACUCAAUCAUCAGAAGAUGAGUCUCAGGUGAGUGAAUUCCCAUAUGCACAGGUUGUAGGGAGCCUGAUGUAUGCAAUGGUAUGCACCAGGUUAGAUAUAGCUUACGCAGUAAGUGUUGUCAGCAAAUUUCUCAGUUGUCCGGGCAAGGUUCACUGGAAUGUUGUAAAAUGGAUAAUGAGAUAUCUCAAGGGCUCUUUUACUUGUGGUUUGCUGUAUGGGAAGACUAAGAGUGACAUAAGUGAAGUCAUGGGGUUUGUAGACUCUGACUUUGCUGGAGAUCUUGAUAGAAUGAAGUCAACCUCAGGGUAUAUGUUUGUGUUAAACAGUUGCCUGAUUAGCUGGAAGUCAUCACUUCAGUCUGUGGUUGCUUUAUCCUCAAUUGAAGCUGAGUUUAUUGCAACUACAGAGGCAGUAAAAGAGGCCAUGUGGCUAAGAGGUUUGCUUAAUGAGUUAUGGUUAAAUCAGAAAAUUGUUCAGGUUUUCUGUGAUAACCAAAGUGUCAUACACCUGGUAAAGAAUCAGAUGUAUCAUGAAAGAACCAAGCACAUUGAUGUGAAGCUCCAGUUUAUCAGAGAUGAGGUUGGAAAGGAAACUGUAAUUGUGUCCAAGAUCUAUACUAGUGUGAAUCCAACUGAUGUUAUUACAAAAGCACUUCCCACUGCAAAAUUUGAAUUCUAUGUGAAUCUAAUGGGCAUCUCGCCCAAACCUAACUAAAUUCAAUAGUGAAUUGUAGUUGAAUGAAGGUUUUUUAGGUGCUGUGUUAUUGAAAGGAUCAACUGAAUCAACUGCAAGGUGGAGAAUGUGAAGACAUGUGUGUGGACUGAAAUGAAGAAUAUGAAAAAGUUGAGAGCUGUCGUGCAGAUUGACUUCAAUUGAUGGGGUUUAUUAGAUAUUGUCUGCUGACGUGGCAUGAAUUCGUUAUAAUCUGUUAUAACGAGUUCAAUAUAUCAGUAUAUAAUAGAGCUGAUGGAUGGUGCCUGUUUUAGAGUCUUUUUCGUAUUCAUUUGUUCAUCAUUUUGCACAAGAUCUAUUCCAUUGUGAUCUGUGUAAAGUCUUCUGUAAAUCCACUCAUGAUUAGAUUAGUUCUUGAUCAAUAACAACGAGUAAAUUUUCCUUCAAGUGUGCUGGUCUGUGCCCCUGUUUUUGGUUCUAAUAUUGUUUCUUUGUUUUGGCAUUUCAUUUCGAUUGUGUUCUUGGUGUUUCUACUCAUCAAGAUUUGUGAGUCUUGUUGAGAUUAAAGGCUUAAUAGUCUUAACAAAAGGGAAUGUAGCAUUGCCAUUAAUCAACAUUCACUCUUAUGACUUUAUGACAUUAGAAUUACAAUCUUUCGUACAUUUAAUUUAUUUGCUUCCAAAUUAAUCUUUAAUAAAUACUUUUUCACAUUAUCAUCAAUGGACAAAACUCCAACGAAAAUAACUACACAAGAACAAUUUAUGCUAGUAUUAUAUGCCACAAUAUCUAUAACUUUGUCUGGAUCGAUCAUUCUAAUUUUUUCGCAGAACUUUUUGUCAAUGGACAAACACCUCACAGAGCUUGUCAGCCGCAUUAUUACGAUGUAAAAUUGUACCGGAAUAUCUUGAAUUAUUAGUAGAAUACUGAAGACUAUUUGGGGCAAUAAAAACAAAUAACGCAGAUAAAAAAAUGGCUAAAAUUAUGUAAGUGAGCCCCAAAGUUUUUGCUAUUUCCAGGAAAUCCCAAAUUUGAAUGGACUAGAGGGAGGCACGUAAGAAAUGCAUUUUCUUCCUAGACAAUGACAGCUAUGACAUCAAGCCACGGUGGCGUCAGUAUUGAAAUUAAGGUGUAAUUAUUCAGCCAAUGAGCCUUACACAUCAAGAUAAAAGUCAAGAAAAUGAAAAUUUGGCUGUUUCCAUUUGAAGUUAAAAGCAACGUUUCUUUCGUUUUGUGGGCGACUCGACUGAGCACGCCCCAAUAGCUAUAUUUGGGGCGUCAAUUUGAUUUUUUUUUUUUUUUUAUUAAGAAGGGCUCAAUAUAACGAGCUAAACCGGAACAAGACGGGGUUUAGCAACCCCAAAUAUAUCUUACAGAAUAGUUGAAUAAAUACCCACAGGCGGGUUAGUAAAUAAAUGUAAACCAUGAGGGGUGGAGUGAGCCAUAUUAGCCAUGAAAUCCGCAGCCGAGUUUGCUUCGCGAAAGAUGUGAGUGAGAGAAACUUGCCAGUUCCUGCUUAGAAGGUCCUGCACAGCAACAACUAGAGCAUAGAAAACAUUAGGCACGACCUCCUGCUUAGAAAGCAUCUGUCAAUUUGAUAUUUGAAUGGACAGGCUAGUAAGAAAUACAUUUCCUUCAUAGAAAAUGACAACGAGGACAUCAAGCCACAUCAUUAUAGUUUGUAGCCCAUCUACAUUUAAACGAUUAAUAAACAAGCUUAGGUAUGCCACUGCUAUUAUUAAUUAUCCCCUGAUCAUUAUAGUUUCUGAAACAGUAAAACAAAACGAAAUUGAAUACAUCAAAGAAACCGUAAUUAUCACUUCUUUAGUUGCGGUAUUUAACUUAAUUUUAAUAUAAUAUAUUUGUUAGUUAAACUUUUAAUAAUCAAAUAAUUUUGAUUUAAAAAUAAAAUUAUAGAAAUUAUUAAUUAUUAAAAAUUCACAAUUAAGGGAACGUUCAUCAAACACACAUAGCUAUUGUUUUCUCUAUAUAUUGCAGUGUGUACGAUAUUGAGGGUUGAAGCCCCAAGCAUGCUCUAAAAUCCAGAUAAUAAUUAGAUCCAUGCAAAAUAUUCAUCGUUGUAUCAGCUGAUCAGUUGGUGGUGAUGAAGGGUGUUAUUGGCGGAGCUCAAAGUUAUUAUGUGCAUGUUGGGUGGAUAUCUCUAUUGAAAAUAUCUCUGAUAUUUCACUCGACAAACUUGUUAAUAUAAAAAAAUCUAUGGUUUUGCCGUCUGCAUACUGUAGAAAAUUUUGUCUCUACGUUAAUCUAAAUGUUUGAGGUGAUUAGAAAUUGCCUACUAUAUAUAAAGGGAAAUAAUUUCUAGGUUGAUUGAUACAUCUCUAUUCAAAAUAUCUCUGACAUUUCACUCGACAAACUUAUUAAUAUAAAAAAUCUGUGGUUUUGCCGACUGAAUAAUGUAGAAAAAUUUGUCUAUGCAUUAAUCUAGAUGUUUGAGGUGAUUUAUACAUCUGUGGUAAAGAUUUAUAGGUUGACUUAUACGUCUGUGGUAUAGAUUUUAUGUAUUUCAUUACAAAAUGCUGGCCGUUAGAACCCUUUCUACAUCUAUUUAUAAGAUUAACGGGUGCCAGCUAUGCCAUUACAAAUUAUCCCCUCAUCAGAUAUUUCGUUAAAAUUCAUUCUGAAACACUAAAACUAAAUAAUCGAACAUGGCUUUGCGGGUCGAUGAUGCCAGCAGCAAUGAGACUGCAAUUAUCACUUGUUUAGUUUCUGUGCUUGCCGUGGUUUACUUCGCAUGGAAUGUGAAAAAAUCAAGGAAAGCAAAUGCUACACUGCCACCAGGACCUCGCGGCUUGCCUGUAUUCGGAUACCUCCCAUUUCUUGGAACUACUGACUUGCACAAGAAAUUCACGGAAUUAUCCGGAGUUUAUGGUCCGAUCUUCAAGCUUUGGCUUGGAAAUAAAUUAUGUGUAGUGGUGAGCUCACCUUCCCUAAUUAGACAAGUGGUUCGUGAUCAAGAUACAACAUUCGCGAACCGUGACCCACCGAAGGCUGCACUAGUGGUCUCCUAUGGUGGCAAUGAUAUUGCAUGGUCCAAUUACGGUCCCGAAUGGAGAAAGUUGCGCAAAUUUUUUGUGGGCAAGUUGAUGAAUAACGCAAGCCUUGAUGCUUGUUAUGCUCUAAGAAAACAAGAGGUUAAAAAUACUAUCAGGGAUUUGUAUAACAACGACAACAAAAUUGGCAAGCCCAUUGACAUUGGUGAAUUGUCGUUUUCAACAUUGGUAUGUGCUAUACAGAACAUGCUGUGGGGUGAAGCGCUUGAAUUAAAAGAGAAAGGGACCAAUAAUCUUAGGGCUGGGCUAAAAUUUAAGCUGGCAGACCUCAUGGUGCUUGCGGGAACACCGAAUAGUUCGGAUGUCUUUCCAGUGCUUUCAUGGCUUGACAUACAAGGUAUAGAGAGGAGAGCAAAGAAGAUUUCACUCUGGCUUGAUAAUGUUAUAAAUUCUACUGUUGAACAGCAUAGAAACAAGGAGUUAACUGUUGAAGGUGAAGAAAGAGCGGGGGAAAAUUUUGAAGGAUCAAGGAACAAGAACUUCUUGCAGUUACUAUUGGAGCUUCAAGAAAAUGAUGACAGUGCUUCCUCAAUUAGCAUGAACCAAUUCAAGGCCGUACUCGCGGUAUGUUAAGCAACUAGCCACGAACAGUUAUACAAGCACAGUUGUAUAUUUGCAUGAGUGAUAUUUUCAACCUUUUUUUUUAAUUAGAAUUUUAUUGUCACCUUUUGGACAGGAUAUAAUUACGGCUGGAACCGACACCACAACUACGAUGGUGGAAUGGACAAUGGCAGAGUUGAUGCUGUCAAAGUUGGCUGCAUCUAGAAGUGUUUGACAUUUGAAAGAAGAAAAUGGUGCAGCCGGCCAAAGAAAAUGGUGCCAUCCAAAUGGAGAAAAAGAAGAAGUUGGUAACUACAUUUGAAAUAUAUACAUAUAUAUAUUAAUUUAAUAGCCAUUUUUUAGCUAUAAAAGGAAGAGCUCCCUAAUUCAUUUGCAUUUAAAUUCCAUUUAGAGAGCAAUUUAGGGAGUUGAGAGAGAGUUCAAGAGCUUGCAUUUAUAAGCUCUUGUUACAGUGAUUGAGAGAGUUUGAGUGUAUUGGGGUUUUGGGUAGUGAGCUAAAAUACUACAAUAGUUGUAACUCCUUUUCACUAGUAAAAUAUUUCCUUCUGUCUUCGCCCGUGGAUGUAGGCUAAAAGCCGAACCACGUAAUUUCUGGUGUCCUCUAUUGUGCUUGUUCUUUAUUUUUCUACCAAUUUUUACUUUAGCUGCGUGUCUGCUUCACCCACCAAUUUCCUAACAGUGGUAUCAGAGCUAUUGGUUGUAUUUUUGGAGUCGGGAACUGUUCACAUAAGGGGUACUAUUUACGUAUAUGGCACUGUACACGUAUACGAAACUAUUCACGUAUACGGUACUGUUCACGUAUACAGUUUUGUUCACAUAGACGGUACUAUUCACGUAUACGGUACUAUUCACGUGAAACGGUGGAAGCAAUCCAAGAAUUUUGCGGUGCAAAGCAGGGAAUAGUGGUGUGAGUAAAGCAACUGUGUGGUUUUGUACAUGUCUAGGAAAGUUCUGUCACAAAGGCGAUAAGAGUUUAAGGAGUCUGGGUUUUAAGUGGGACCAUUGUGACCCCUCCAGUCUUUCCUGGGAACUUUCCUGGUGUGCAUUCUCACACAUACUCACAACUAUUCAAGGUGGUAUACUAGCUUGUGUGCAGUAUUUAUCAACAAAAUGGCGGCAAAGUAUGAAAUUGAGAAGUUUAACGGAAAUAAUUUUUCAUUGUGGAAAAUGAAGAUGAAAGCUGUAUUGAGGAAAAAUAAUUGUUUGGCAGCAAUUGGAGAAAGGCCCAUGGAGAUAACUGAUGACAAGUGGAACGAGGUAGACGGCAACGCCAUUUCUGAUCUACACUUGGCACUUGCGGAUGGAGUAUUAUCCAGUGUGGCAGAGAAAAAUACGGUGAAGGAAAUAUGGGAUACUUUCACAAAAUUGUAUGAGGCCAAGUCACUACACAACAAAAUCUUCUUGAAGAUAAAACUCUAUACCCUUCGAAUGGCGGAAUCUACAAUGGUGACCGACCAGAUCAACACAUUGAAGACUCUAUUUUCACAACUCACAAUGUUGGGUCAUAAUAUAGAGGAAAAUGAACGUGCAGAGCUUCUACUUCAAAGUCUACCAGAUUCGUAUGAUCAACUCAUCAUCAACCUGACGAACAACAAUCCAGUGGAGGGUCUAGUUUUCGACGAUGUUGCAGCCUCCGUAUUAAAUGAGGAGAGCAGGCGAAAAAAUAAGGAAAACAGACAAGCAAGUUCGCAGCAAGCAGAAGCGCUAUCGGUGACGAGAGGGAGAUCAACGGAACGUGGCCCCAGUGGGAGUCAAAAUCAUGGUAGAUCAAAAUCCAGAAGUAAGAAGAAUGUUAAAUGCUACAACUGUGGCAAGAAAGGGCACGUCAAGAAAGAGUGUUGGAGUAACCAGAAGAAAAGAGAGGGCAAAGAACCUGAGUCAUCAAAUGCUCAGGGUUGUGUAGCAAGUACCUCGGAUGAUGGCGAAAUACUCUACAGUGAGGCAACAACUGUUUCAAAAGGCAGAAAACGACUGUCUGAUGUCUGGCUUAUAGACUCAGGAGCUACCUGGCACAUGACCUCUCGGAGAGAAUGGUUCCACACAUAUGAACCUAUCUCAGGAGGAUCUGUAUAUAUGGGUAAUGAUCAUGCCUUGGAGAUCGUUGGUAUUGGUACUAUCAAAAUAAAAAUGUUUGAUGGUACAAUUCGCACAAUUGGGGAGGUACGACAUGUCAACGGCCUGAAGAAAAAUCUAUUGUCUUUGGGACAAAUGGAUAGUCAUGGGUACAAAACUCAUGUGGAGAAUGGAAUUAUGAAGAUUGUUAAAGGUGCGCUUGUAUUGAUGAAGGCAGAAAAGAUCGGUGCUAAUUUAUUCAUGCUUAAAGGAGAAACACUACAGGAGGCUGAUGCGUGUGUCGCGUCAAAUGGAGAAGAAUCAACGAUAAUGUGGCAUCUAAAACUUGGCCACAUGUCAGAACAAGGCUUGAAGAUUCUCUCUGAACGAAAAUUACUUUCGGGGCUCAAAUCGGUAAGUUUACCAUAUUGCGAGCAUUGUGUUACAAGUAAGCAGCAUAGAUUAAAAUUCAGUAGAUCUAUUGCUAGAAGUAAAUGCAUUCUAGACUUGAUUCAUUCUGAUGUUUGGGAAUCACCGGAUAUAUCCAUGGGAGGUGCAAAGUACAUGGUGACUUUCAUUGAUGAUUAUUCCAGAAGAUGUUGGGUGUAUCCAAUUAAGAAAAAGUCAGAUGUAUUUUCUGUGUUUAAAGAAUACAAAGAGCGGGUGGAACUUGAAUCUGGUAAAAAGAUCAAGUGCUUGAGGACAGAUAAUGGUGGAGAGUAUACAGACGGCGAGUUUCUUGCUUUCUGUAAGCAAGAAGGUAUUCAGAGGCAGUUCACAGUGGCAUACACGCCUCAAUAAAACGGAGUGGCGGAGCGGAUAAACAGAACUCUUACAGAAAGAAUAAGAGCUAUGUUGAGGACUGCUGGUCUACCCAAUUCAUUCUGGGCAGAAGCAGCCAAAACUGCCUGUUAUAUAGUAAAUCGGUCGCCAUCUACACCUAUUGGGUUGAAGACGGCGAUGGAGAUGUGGACUGAAAAGCCAGCUGAUUAUUCUUACCUACAUGCAUUUGGAUGUCCUGUGUAUGUGAUGUACAAUGCUCAAGAAAGAAUAAAGCUGGAUCCAAAAUCUAGAAGAUGUAUCUUCUUGGGGUAUGUUGAUGGAGUAAAGGGGUAUCGUCUGUGGGACCCCACUGCCCACAAAAUCGUCAUCAGCAGAGAUGUUAUCUUUAUAGAAAAUCAACUGCAAAGGAGAGAUGAGGAUGAUGACACUGCAAAAGAAAAGUCAGAGACUGUGCCAGUAUAUGUGGAAAAUAAUCUAGAAGAUUCAGAUUCUUAUGAAGCAGCACCAGAGCACGAGGAACAAGAACCAAUCGAGUCUGAAGCUCCAGAAGUUCGUCGGUCAACUCGUGAGAGACGACCGCCGGCGUGGCACUCGGAGUAUGUCACAGAGAUCAACGUUGCAUACUGUCUUCUAAUAGAGGAUGGAGAGCCUUCAACUUUCCAUGAAGCUUUAAACAGCUCAGAUGUUGCUUUGUGGAUGACAGCAAUGCAUGAAGAAAUUGAAGCUCUACACAAGAACAAGACAUGGGAACUUGUACCACUACCACGUGGAAGAAAAGCCAUUGAAAACAAAUGGGUCUACAAGAUCAAACGUGAUGGCAAUGACCAAGUGGAGCGGUAUCGUGCCAGAUUGGUGGUGAAAGGAUAUGCUCAGGAAGAAGGUAUUAACUUCAACGAGAUAUUUUCGCCGGUGGUUCGACUCACAACAGUCAGAACAGUCUUGGCAAUGUGUGCCACAUUUGACCUACAUCUAGAGUAGUUAGAUGUGAAAACUGCAUUUCUUCAUGGAGAACUUGAAGAAGAAAUAUAUAUGCUCCAACCAGAAGGUUUUGCAGAAACAGGAAAGGAGAACUUGGUUUGCAGGUUGAACAAAUCUCUAUACGGUCUCAAACAGGCGCCGAGGUGUUGGUAUAAGAGAUUUGAUUCCUUCAUCAUGAGCCUUGGAUACAACAGACUCAGUUCAGACCAUUGUGCAUAUUACAAGAGGUUUGAAGAUAAUGAUUUCAUUAUUUUGCUGUUGUUUGUGGAUGACAUGUUGGUAGCAGGUCCCAACAAAGAUCAAAUCCAAGAAUUGAAAGCACAGUUGGCUAGGGAGUUUGAAAUGAAGGACUUGGGACCAGCAAACAAGAUUCUAGGGAUGCAAAUUCACCGAGACAGAAAUAACAGGAAGAUUUGGCUUUCACAGAAGAAUUACUUGAAGAAAAUCUUGCGGCGCUUCAACAUCCAAGAUUGUAAGUCAAUUUCUACCCCACUUCCUAUUAAUUUCAAAUUAUCCUCAAGUAUGUGUCCUAGCAAUGAAGCAGAGAGGAAGGAGAUGUCUCGAGUACCGUAUGCAUCAGCAGUGGGAAGUUUGAUGUUCACUGUGAUAUGUACUAGACCGGACAUUGCACAAGCAGUGGGAGUAGUCAGUCGAUACAUGGCGAAUCCUGGUGGAGAGCAUUGGAUAGCUGUGAAGAGGAUUCUGAGAUACAUCAGAGGAACCUCAGAUGUUGCAUUAUGUUAUAGAGGAUCAGAGUUUACUGUCAGGGGCUAUGUGGAUUCAGAUUUUGCAGGAGACCUUGAUAAAAGGAAAUCCACUACUGGUUAUGUGUUUGCACUUGCGGGAGCAGCUGUAAGCUAGGUUUCGAAACUGCAGACCGUUGUAGCUUUAUCUACAAAAGAAGCAGAGUACAUGGCAGCUACACAAGCUUACAAGGAAGCUAUUUGGAUACAAAGGUUAUUGGAGGAGCUCGGGCACGGACAAGAGAAAAUUUCUGUAUUUUGUGACAGUCAGAGUGCCUUGCACAUUGCAAGGAAUCCAGCCUUUCAUUCCAGGACAAAGCACAUAGGAGUCCAGUAUCACUUCGUUCGUGAAGUAGUGGAAGAUGGAAGUGUGGAUUUGCAGAAAAUCCAUACCAAAGAGAACCUAGCAGAUGUUUUGACCAAGCCGAUAAAUAUUGAUAAGUUUGUCUGGAGUAGAUCCUCUUGUGGCCUAGCAGAAAUGUAGGCAACAUGAUUAUGGCGAAGCAGAAAGGAUGGUGUGGAGAUUGAUUGUUUUUCAAUUUAAUCUCCAAGUGGGAGAAUGUCAAAGUUGGCUGCAUCUAGAAGGGUUUGACAUUUGAAAGAAGAAAAUGGUGCAACCGGCCAAAGAAAAUGGUGCCAUCCAAAUGAGAAAAAGAAGAAGUUGGUAACUACAUUUGAAAUAUAUACAUAUAUAUAUUAAUUUAAUAGCCAUUUUUUAGCUAUAAAAGGAAGAGCUCCCUAAUUCAUUUGCAUUUAAAUUCCAUUUAGAGAGCAAUUUAGAGAGUUGAGAGAGAGUUCAAGAGCUUGCAUUUAUAAGCUCUUGUUACAGUGAUUGAGAGAGUUUGAGUGUAUUGGGGUUUUGGGUAGUGAGCUAAAAUACUACAAUAGUUGUAACUCCUUUUCACUAGUAAAAUAGUUCCUUCUGUCUUCGCCCGUGGAUGUAGGCUAAAAGUCGAACCACGUAAUUUCUGGUGUCCUCUAUUGUGCUUGUUCUUUAUUUUUCUACCAAUUUUUACUUUAGCUGCGUGUCUGCUUCACCCACCAAUUUCCUAACAGAUGCAGCAUCCACAAGUAAUGAAGAAAGUCCAGGAAGAAUUAGCUCAAGUUGUGGGCAUGGACAGUUGUGUUGAAGAAUUUCACCUGUCUAGAUCAAUGUAUUAAGAUGCUGUGGUGAAGGAAACAUUUCGUCUGCAUCCUGCAGUGCCUUUAUUACUACCACGUAGGGCAAGCGAGAGUAGCAACAUUGGUGGCUAUAACAUUCCCAAAGAUACAACUAUUAUGUUGAAUGUUCGGGCAAUCCACAGGGACCCUAAACUUUGGGAUAAUCCCUUAGAAUUUCGACCCGAGAGGUUUCUAGAUGAUGGUAUCGCGAGUAAGUUCGAUUACUCAAGUAACAAUUUUCAGUACUUGCCAUUUGGUUCUGGUAGAAGAAUGUGUGCUGGGAUUGCUCUAGCUGAGAGGAUGCUGAUGUUUGUUCUGGCUUCCUUAUUGCACUCAUUCGAGUGGGAAUUGCCAACUGGCACAAAGCUAAACUUAUCAGAAAAAUUUGGGAUUGUCAUUAAGAAAAAAGAGCCAUUGGUUGCUAUUCCAACACCAAGACUAUCCAAUUCAGGGCUCUACCAUUAAGACAAUGGUUGUGAUGAUUUUGUUAAUUUCCGGAGAUUUGUAUGUUAUUUUAAGUUCAAUCGUAAUAAAAUAUUUCAAAUAAGAGUCCUCCGUUGCUUUUUUUUUUUUCAACGGCAUAAUCUGUCGUCAUGCUUGUAUUUGGAGCUACUUUGUAAUAAUUAUGUUUGAAUUACAAUUUAUAAAUAUUACAUUUUAAAAUUUUAUGAGAGUCUAAAUUUAUACACGUUCAAUAACCCGCUUCAUAUAUAUUUAACACAAUUUAUAUCAUACAUUGUACACCCAUUUUUCAUAAAUUACACUAUUUUGUAUCUCUAAAUAAUAUUAGGUAUUGAUAUUAUAAAAUAUAUAUAUAUAUAUGUUUAUCAAAAGACAAUACCAUUCAAUAUAUAUUGAAAAGAGAACAAAUAAGAUUUUCUUAUGGUUUAAAAAUAUUAUGAAUUCUGCUGUUGAACAGUAUGGAAACAAGGUCUCUGUUGUUAAAGGUGAAGAAGCAACAGGGAACAAUAUUGAAGGAAGAAAUUUCACAUGUUUAGUUGCUGAAUUUGCCGCAGAAUUCUAUCGGUAGUAAAAAGAUUAGAGUUUUUAUUUUUCUCUAUUAAUGUUAAGUCAAUUUUCUAUAACAAAUUCGGUUGAGUUUAAUUGUGUUACAAUAUAAAUUGAAUGAUAAUAGAAUUUUCAACGAAUAUUUCAAUAUAUUUGUUAUGCGAUCGAUUUUAAAAUUUAUAAAAUUAUUUGUUACUAAAUUGCAUCAUAUGCUAAAAUCACCUGAAACCUAAUUCCAUAACUAACCGUUUAUUUUUAGUUCUCAAGAAAUCUUGUAAGAACAAAAUUCUUUUAUAACAAAACUUUUACAACACAUUAAUUUGUAACUCAUUCCUGUGCGAGAAUCACUCUCAAUUUCCUUCAAUUGCUGUUUAACAAUCAUCUGCUUAUCAAAAUUCAAGCAUAAUCUUUCUUUUUUUUAAUUUCUUCAUCAUUCUUUUAAAAAAAAAUCAGGAUAUGCUGUUAAAUUUUGAAAUAAAUUAUCUCAAAAUAAUUACUAACCAGAAAAAACAAAGGGGUUUAACUAGGUUAUGCAUACCUUUGAAAAUUAUAUGUUGAUCGAUAAGAAUGAUGAUCACGAUUGAGGAGUUUAAUUAAAAUAUAUAAGAUUUUAAAAUUAAUCAGGGUUAAAUUGUGAAUUUUAGAAAGAGAGGCUUUGUGAGAAUGCUGAAAGGGUGUUAAUAGUUCCACUCUUUUUAAAAACAACCAUAGUCAUCAUUUUUCCCGAUUUCUUCUUCCCAUCACCAUCUUACUUAGAAAUUUCCCAGAGCCUUUGUUUCCCACCUUUCAUUUUUCUUCUUUCUAAUUUAAUAUUAUAGUAUUAUAAAAAUAAUUACUCCCAUUUUAUCAAACACCUCCAUUCUACCAAGGCCUUGUUUUAGUAGUAGGCUUUUAUUAUCUCAAUAAAAUUGAAAAAACAAAUCUCAAUAAUAUUGGAAAAAAAAAAACCUACCCAUAUUUGUAACUUUAAUUUAUUAUUCUCCAUGGACCUACUUUUUAGCUUUGAAUUUUUUUGGAGCCAUAUAUAAACAGAAUAUGUUGAAAUCAGCACCAAAAAAAAAAAAUUAUUAUUAUAUAAUUUUUGUUCCCAAGGACAUGACUGAGUGAUUUUCAAGAAGUUUUGUUUGGCUGGCCACUUAAGUUUAAAUCUUGGUGGAGAUUAGAGGUUAAGAAAUAAAUUUGGACUUUGCACACCCCUUUAACUUUUAAAAAGAAAUGAAAAAAAUUAAUUAAUUAAUCUUUAUUUUAUUUAUUAAAUGUCAUAAUCCUAUGCGUAUUUUAUUUGUUAUCUUUCUAUUUAAAAGACAGGAGGGCAGAUAAAACUGAAAUAAAUUUUUAGCCCUAUCUCCAUCUUUCAAGUUUCAUAGUUAGGUGACCAGCUAAAGAAAAUUAAUUGAAAACUACUCCAUCAAAUUAAAAAUUUUUAUUUAUUUAAUUUGUGGAGAUGUAGAAAAUCAAACCCCAUGCCUUUUCGCAUGCAAAAGUGUCAACCUGAUCUAGUUGUGUUGCAACAGUGAACAUAUUUCAAUACAUGACUAUCAUCCUUUAUCGUAAAUACUACUAUAACUAAUAACAUACAAUUGAAAUAAUAGUGUUAACACUUGGCUAUAAAUAAAGGUUUUGUGCUUGAAUCUUCACGCAUGACCUUCAUUCCCUUAUUGACUUUGCUAACACAGAUUUUGAGGCAUUAAAAACUAAAUAAUAAUUGACUUUGUGGGCCGAGGAUGCCAGCAACAAGGAGACCACAAUUAUCACUUGUUAAGUUACUCUAAUUGCCGUUGUCUUAUAUUCAUAGAAUAUUAGUAAUAAGAUUAUUGUAGAAUUUUUUUAUAUUAAAAUCAAGUCAAUUUGUUAUAACAAAUUUAGUUGAAUUUAAUCGUAUUACCACAUAAAUUGAAUAAUAAUAGAAUUCUCGAUAAUAUUUCAAUAUUUUAAUCUCAAGCAUUGGAGUGGCAUUUAUUUGUUAUACGGUUGAUUUUAGAAUUUAUAAAAUUAUUCGUUACUGAAUUGCACCAUAUGCUGCAUCACCUGGAACUUACUAAACGGAACGUAGCGUUGGCACCGUUACUCAACAUUCACUGUUACGACUUUGGGACAUUAGAAUUAAAAUCUUCUGCACAUUUAAUUUGUUUCCUUCCAAAUUAAUAUUUAACAAAAUAUUUUUUCACAUUAUCAAUGGACAAAACUCCAACGAAAAUAACUAUACAAGAAAAAUGUAUGCUAGCAUUGAAUGCCAUAUCAUCUGUAAUUUUGUCAGGAUCGAUCAUUCUAAUUUUUAAGCAGAACUUUUUAUCAAUGGACAAACACCUCACACAGCUUGUCAGAGGCAUUAUUAUGAUGGAAAACUGCAAUGGUAUAUCUUGAAUUAUUGGUAGAAUAGUUCUUUGGAGCAAUCAAAACAGAUAAGACAGAUGAGAAAAUUGUCAAUACCCCACCGCAAAAGCAAAAGAAAAAAAGGAAAGGAGACAAAAGAGGAAGAAGAAAAAGAAAAAAGAACGAAGAAAAAAAUGGUGCCGCGCGGUAUAGGGAAGAAGAAGAAAAAUUAAUAAAAUAAUAGUGCACAAACUCUCUUUUCCUCUCUCCUUAUCUUUAGUUUUAAGCAUCUCUUUUAUUUUUAAAAAUUUCAAUUUAUCAUAUAUUUUUGUUAAAAGACUAAAAAAAUUUAUUAGCACACUCAUAUUUUUCAGAAACGUAAGGUUCUUAAAAAAUAUAGAAGACAAUUUAAAGAUAAUUAAUUUACGAUACGCAAAUAUAAAAUUUAUCCUUUAAAGAGAAAAUUGUUGUGAACUGGCUAAUCCAACAAUAAUGAAGAACAAAGCAGAAGCUUUUGCAUAGCAGUCAUGUGAUUGCUAUAAAUAAAGGGGCGUUUCCCUCAUUUUAUUCUUCGAAUUCUUUAGUGCCUUUUAAGCGAUUUAAGAGUCUAGUGAUUUGAGAGUUUGGGUGUAUUAUGGUUUUAAAUAGUGAGAUAAAAUACUACAAUACUUGUAACUCAUUUUUAUUAGUAAAAUAUUUUCCUUUUAUUUUCGCUCGUGGACGUAGGCUAAAAGUCAAACUACAUAAUUUAUGGUGUCCCUAUGUAAUUAUGUGUCUCAUUAUUUCUCAAUUUCGCUUUAAUUGCGUGUCUGCUAAACCCUUCAAUUUACUAACAAAAAUCGCCAAAAUUAUAUAAGCGGCCCAAAUGUUUUGCUAUUUCCAAGAAAUCCCCAAUCUGAAUGGACUAGACCAGAGGGAGGCAAGUUAGAAAUACGUUUCCUUCAUAGACAAUAACAACGAUGAGUCGAUGACAUCAAGCCACGUCGGUAUCAAUAUUGAAUUAAAGGUGUAAUUAUUCAGCCAAUGAGCCUUACACAUCAAGAUAAAAGUCAAGAAAAUGAAAAUUUAUCCUAAUUAAAACACUUUCUUGGUGCAUUUAGUUGUUUCCAUUUGAAGUUAAAAACAAUGUUUCUUUCGUUUUGUGGGCAACUCGACUGAGUUAGCUGGCUUUUAGUGCUAGUAUGUGAAAAUAGAAGGCUAAUGAUUUAUUUGUUAUCUUUUGAUAAAAUUAUUAAAGAUAUAAUAUAUUUUCCAUGAUAUAAGUGAAAAAUCGCAUCAACAUAGUUUCCAAGCUACAACAGCUAGUGUUUACCAAACACUUUGCUAUAUCUUUUAAGCUACAACUACCCAACCUUAAUCACAAACGCACCCUUAAUAGGUUGAUUGAAUUUGUGGGAUAUAGAUUCCACAUAUCUCAUGACCUAGUAAUUAUACAAGUGGUUCGUGAUCAAGAACAACAUUUGCUUCCGGCCCAGUGACCCAGCAACUGCUGCAUUGGUCGCCACCUAUGGUGCCGACGAUAUUGCAUGGUCCAAUUGUGGCCUUGAAUGAAAAAAGUUGUGCAAAUUAUUUAUGGGCACGAUGAUAAGUAACGCAAGCCUUGAUGCUAGUUAUGGUCGAAGAAAACAAGAGGUUAAGAAUACUAUCAGAGAUAUUCAUAACAACAAAAAGGGAAAAAAAAAAAGGCGUUGGCAAGUCCAUUGAUAUUGGUGAAUUGUCGAUUUCAACUUUGGCAUGUGUAAUUUAGAACCUGCGCAUUGUGGUAUGGCACUGGCACGCUUGCAUUGACGAGGGGACAAAUCUUGGGGCUGAGCUAAAAUUUAGGCUUGUAGAACUCAUGGUGCUAAUGGGAACACCAAAUAUUUUUUGACAUAUUUCGGUGCUUUCAUGGUUUAAUUCAAGGUAUAGAAAGGAGUGUUGAGAAUGUCAAAUAAAACGACAUUGAAUGGAAGUUUUCAAAGACAUGAUCCGCACUGAACAGCAACGACACGGUUGGUGAAGAUUUUUUCGUAAUACGAGUAUCUAAUUUUUGAAAAAUUAUAACCUCUGCAUCUAUAAAUAUGCUCAAUGUAUAAUGUUUUACUUAAGAAAUGAAAAACUUGUUUCUUCAUGGUAUCAGAGCGAGGUUCAGUGCCCUUAGGCUUGGCAAAACCUCGGGUCCGGUCCGGGUUUGGUGCAACCCGGGACCGGACCGGCUGCCAAAAAUUGAAACCCGGACCCGGACAAAACCCAACUUUUGAAUGUCCGGUCUGGGCUUGAGCCCGGCGUGUCUCGGGUCCAGAUUUUGUCUUCCGGGCUUCUAAGCCCGCAAACAAUUAUUUCAAAAAAAAUUAAAAAAGGCUCACAGCAGCAAGUCAGCAACAUAAAAUUAAAAAAGGCAAAAGUAUUUGGUCGAAAAAACAGAGCAACAAUAAUCACAAAUUCACAGGCUCACAGCAAGUCAGCAACAAUGCACAAAAUUGGUCGAAGAUAAAUACGAAUAGCAACAGCCAACAGAGAAGCAAUCGACAAAAAUGCAACUGGGAAGACAAAAUUUAUUAUUUCGCUAACAGACCUAUAAUGUUCUAAUGUCUUUUCAUUUUAUUUAAAAUACCAAGAAAAGAAAAGGUGAAAUCUAUAUAUGUUGUUAGGCCAAUUACCUAAGGUGUCGGUUCAAGAUUCAAGAAACACAAUGACCAGGUAAUUAAACAAGGAGCAAAGUCACUUGCUAUAUAUAUAUAUAUUAAAGAGAGGGCUAAAACUGAUGAGGCUGAGAAGGAGAGCUUGAAACAGAAGGCAAAAGAGUUGGAUGAGGAGGUUGCUCGUCGUGAUAUGUAGUGAUCGAGGAAAAAGACAAAAUGAUUGCAGAUAAGGGAAAGAUGGUUGAUUAGUUGAAGAAGGAAAGCCAAGUUAAGCAUGAUGAAAAUAUUUUACUGGAGUAACAGCCGCAACCGAGCAAAACCGAGUCAGCAAAUGCCAAACGAGAAGAGAUGAUGCCCACUGCCGAGUACCGAGGGACGACGGUGACGGACUGAUGGUGGGUGCUAGCCAACGGUGACGGUGGGUAGCCGGUGGCAGCAUCGCUGCUUAUGCCUUUGGGUUUGGGUAACUGGGGUCUGGGAAUUCGAAUUAGGGAUUUGGGUGUUUUGCGAUUUGGGUUUGGGUAACUGGUUUUAGAUUUUUUUUAAAGUUUAUUCAGAAAACGGGUCUGGGUCCGGGUCUGGGUUCCGGGUUUUUGGUGCUGAACUCGGACUGUGCCCGGAAAUGUCCGGGUUUUAAAUUCUGAAACCCGGAUCCGCUUUUGCAGCAUAUGCGGUCCGAGUUUUGCCCGGACCGGAUUGGCCGAGUCCGGACUGGAUCCGGUCCGGGCGGGUUUUUUUGACACCCCUAACUGCCUUGUUUGUAACAAAAGCAAAGAAAACUAAAUUCUUCCCACAACUAUUUUUCCACCAUUUUUUCUUCCUUAAAAGCAUUUCUAGCAUUAUAGAAACCCAUGCCAAUAAAAGAACAAGCCACACAUACGUAAAAACUUAAGUUUACAAAUCUAUCAACAGUCUCAUAAAUUUUCCCAAAAAGUGAUCUUAAAAAACCAAAAAUAUCAUCAAUUUUCUCAGCUUCCAAUAAACAAACUAUAAAAGUUUCGCACUCAAACACAGCCACACGCGCCUCCACGCACUUCCCGCAAUCACGGCCAACCACCACGUGCCUCUGUCACCACUAACUCACCCUCAUGCGCUCCAGAGGUUGCAGAAGACGCAAAAUAACGUGUCGUUUUCUUCUCUAGAAGUGCAGCAGCUUGGAAAAUGACUCGUCGUUUUUAUUCCGUUAGAAACGACAUGUCGUUUUCUUAAGCAGAAAUAAAACAACUUGUUGUUUUUGCCUUAAAUUUGUUUUUUCCUCGUUUGAAGCUAUACAACAUUUUUCUUUCUAAACUUGUUUUUUGCAAUAAAAAAGAAAAAAAUAGAGAAAACUCCAACUUAAUCUACUCAUGUUGUCAUUCAAUCUGUUCAACCUGAUGGAGUAUUUAAUGUCAGAAUUAUCCUUACUAAGACAAACUACGAUAUUUGGUCUCAAAUUAUAGAGAUGCAUCUCGCAGAAAGAAAAAAAACUCUCAUAUAUUCGUAGCAGCACAAAGCCAUCUGACAAAUUUUCAAAGGAAUAUGAGAAAUGGUAUAGUGAGAAUCAAAAAGUAAAAAGAUGGUUACUAAUAUCCAUGUGUCCUGAGAUCAUGAAGCUAUAGUUACGAAUUCCUACAGCUUACAAAAUUUGGAAUGCAUUAUCAAAAGUCUUUUAUGAUGGAAGCGAUGAAAUACAAGUUUUCACUCUAAACCAGAAGGCGUUCUCUACGAAGCAAAAUGGACAACCACUCUCUAAAUUCUACGGAGAAUUGAUCGAAGUAUUUGAAGAACUUAAUCAUCGAGAUAAAGUGGUCAUGAAGGAUCCAGAAGAUGUUAUAAUAUACAGAAAGUCUAUUGAAAGAUUGAGAGUGCACAUUUUUCUUGCUGGGCUAGAUGAAGAAUUUGACCAAGUUUGUGGAGAAAUUCUACGAAAAGAUACUAUCCCAAACUUAAAAGAAUGUUAUUCUAUAAUCCGAAAAAAAGAUGUACGGCAAAGCAAACUAAACAAGAAGGUGGACGACUCAGAAACGUCUGCUAUGAUAGCACUAGAGAACAAUGUUUUGAAAUUGUUGGAUAUCCUGACUGGUGGCAUACUCAAAGGAAUAACACAAAGCAGGGAUCAAAAACUGCAAUGGCUGAAUCCACAUCCACUACAGAUCUUAGAAAAGAAUCUUCAGCGCAAAUUGCAACCCCUGUCAAUUCAGGUAAGGUCCUUAAAACUCUUACAUAUGUUAUUAAUAGUAUAUGAAUAAUUGAUUAUGGUGCAACUGAUCAUAUGACUUUUGAUUCUCGACAAGUUUCUCAAUUGAAACCAUCUUCACAAAAACAUGUUUCCACUGUAAAUAGAACUACAACCUCAGUUAUUGGGGAAUGAUCUUUACAACUCACAGUUAAAUUAAAUUUAGACUAUGUGUUAAUUGUUCUAUCUUUAAAUUAUAAUCUUUUAUGUGUCUCAAAUAACCACUUACUUAUCAUGUGUUGUAAUGUUUUGGCUCGAUCAUUGCGUGUUUAAGGACAUCCAAACGAAGCAAAUGAUUGGUUAUGGUAUUAAACGAGACAACUUAUAUUACCUGGAGAUGACAUCAACAAACACUGAAAAGCUAAGCCCCGCAUUAGUAGCAAACAGUUCCAUGAAAAAAAAAAGAAAUAAGAAAUUUGGUUAUGGUAUAGACGUUUAGGGCAUGUGUCAUUUGGUUACUUAAAAAAAUUGUUUCCUAGUUUGUUUCUGAAAUUUGAUGUUUGUGAACUUUCAAAUAGUCAUCGAACUAAUUUUCCAUUGUCCUUAAAUAAAAAUCCAGUUCCUUUCAUGGUAGUACAUUCUGAUGUAUCGGACACCUUCAAUCUCCCUUGGAUUCCAAACUCCUUUUCUAGUUCUAAAUGAAGAAUUAUGUCAUCAAAUGUGCCGAAUUUACCCCCACAUAUGUUUGGUUGUGUUGCCUUCGUUCAUUUGCCACGACAAGACAAAUUAUCUCCUCGAGCACUACGUUGUGUGUUUGUAUGGUAUGCCUUACAUCAAAAGGGGUACUGAUGCUAUCAUCCUCUAUUAAAAAAAAUAUAUACAUCACCAUGGACGCUUCUUUCAUGAAGAUAUCAUGUACUACCCAUCGGAGCAUAAAUUUCAUGGGGAGUAUAAUAAAGAGGAAAUUCAUACUCUUACAUAUCUUCCACCUGAAGAAGAUUAAUCCUCCAUUGAGGUAGUAAACCUUCAAGAUAUUGGAAAAUAAAAUGGCGAUGAUUCUCAGGCUGAGACAAGUGAAGACACAUUUGGGGAGCAAAAUAACUCAGACAUAACCACAAUCGAGAACGAGUCCAUGAAGAAAUAUCUAACAAAUCAUCUGCAGAGGAUGAUCCUACCACAAAUCCCAGUCUAAUCAGAAGAAUACUUCCCCAUCAUAAAAAUAGAGGUAUCUCUAAACCCAUAUAUAAGUCUGACCUCUCUAGUAGAGUCAAAUACCCUAUGAGUAAUUUUGUGUCUAACCAUCGCUUGUCAGAAUCAAAUCAGUCAUUUGUGAAUCAAUUAUCUACUGUGUCUAUUCCUAACAGUGUACAAGAAGCCUUAAAAAAUCCAAAGUAGAAAGCGGCUAUGAAUGACGAAAUGAGAUCUCUUCCAAAAAAAUCAAACAUGGGAACUAGUUGAUCUUCUACUAGGAAAGAAACCAGUGGGUUGCUCUUUAGAAGUAUUUGUCGAGAGAGUUUGAGAUGAAGGAACUCAAAAAUAAAAAUAAAAAUCAUACCCAAUAAAAGAGAAAAAAUAAUCCACAAAAAAAUCAUCAAGAAAAUAAAUUUGAGACAAAGAGAAGAUAUUAAUUAACCCCUGGGUUGCCUUGGAACCACAGCUUUGGCUUCCAUUUUUCAAUUCUUGUCUACAAGUAAUUUCUUGUUUGUUUACAAAGAUGAAGGCUGAUUAAUGAAGCUCUAUUAACAAUGAAUGAAUCAAAAAACUUGAGUCUUGAAAAGACUAACGGUCAUAUUUUUCCAACUCCGAAUUAGUGCCGUUUGAUGAGUCCUUGCUAAAACAAUCACUCGGCAAAAAAUGAUCAUUUUUCAACCAGCAAAACUCAUUCAUUGUUUCUCACCUUAGUCAAGAUUUAAAAAUUGUUUCAAAAUAAGCCUAGUGGUUAGAACCCAAGCGUCACAAUUGUGAUGUCAUGGGUUCGAGCCCCCACAAUAAUAUCCUUCUUCAAUUUGAGUGAAGACGGUACUAUCUCUUUCGAAAUAUGAGUAGAGUGGACGUCCCUCAAAUAUUAGAGAGGGUUAAAAUCUAGGUUGUACUAUAUAAGAUUUGUAAAUUAGUCUUAGUAAUUAUUUGAUUGUAAAUAUUAAUAUACUAAUCUAAUUAAAUAUGAGUUGUAAUCUGAGCAUUAGUCUCAUGUAAUAAAAAAAAUUGUUUCAAAAUGAGAUUCUUAAAAAAAUAAUAAAAUGAUAUUUAACUUAAUUUUAAUAUAGGAAAAGGACAUCUACACUUCCAAAGUUUGGGGAAAUGGCCAUCAAUAUCCCUAACUUUCCAAAAAGAGACACCAAGACCCCUUUUGACCAUAAUACCCUUUACUUCUAUUAUCCCAAAAAAAUUGACUCUAAUGUUUUAUAAUAAAUAAAAAUAUAACAUUAAAAUAAAUGAAAUAGUAUAUACAUUUUAAAAUAGUUUCAAUAUUUAAAAACCAUUUUAAUAUUUUAAAUUAUAUUAUAUAUAUUUUAUUAUAUUAAAGUAAAUUUUAUAAUAAAUAGAAUCAUAAUAUUGAAAUAAAUGCAUUAAAAUUUAAAUUAUCUUGAAUAUUAUGUAAAAUAAUAAUUUUAUCAUUAUUAGUAUAUGAGAAUUUUUUUAAUUGUAGAAUGUAUUUAACGCAAAUAUGUAUUUAAAAUCUCUACAAUAAAUAAAAAUAUACUAUUAAAACAAAUCUCUACAAUAAAUAAAAAUAUACUAUUAAAACAAAUCUCUACAAUAUAUACAUACAUACAUACAUACAUAUACAUUGGCUUGGUAUUUUAUUUUUCAUUUUUAAACUUAUUAAAUCCUCUAACUAUCAUUUGAAUUUUUUUUUCAAUGAUGAAGAGGCCAUUGCCAGAUAAAUUAUUAAAAUGAGUAAUUAUCAAAAACCACCCUUGAGGUUUGGCUUAUUCUCAGUUUGAUAGAUUGUAUUUGUGUAUUCUCAGCCACCUCCUUAGUAUACCAUUUAGUUGAUCGUUUGUUACUGGAAAAAAUGACCAAAAUACCCUUGUGUUGAAAAAAAAAUACUUCGUUCACACAAAUCAAAGAAUUGUUGGCCAGUCAUAUCUGUUUUAGCGCCAAGAGUUGUGAUUACAUUGUAAAUACCAAAUAAAACAUUGGACGGCCCCCCUGCGUCAACAGAAAGAGCAGAGAUUCUAGUUCACUUUGAGGCAAGAUUUAGGCGUUCAAUCAUUUUUGCAACACCAGUAAUCCCUGCACUCAUCUCAUGCUGAACUUCUUUACCUAGUUGCUUAACUGAAGUAUUCCUAGAGACCAGCCUCUCCUUUAAACUGCAGGUACCUUUUGAGAUUAAUUUCUUAUAUCUGUUAAGAAACAAACGCAAGUCAAAUUGACAAGUUGAAACAUAUAAAUACCAAUUCCAUUUUUUUUCUUUUUUUUUUAAUAAUAAAAAAAAUACAAGAAAACAAAUAAAAGAAAUUAUUCACAAAAAUUAAUUCUAUGAAUUAAAAUUACUUACCUCCCCGGCAACGGCGCCAAAAACUUGUUGUGCAAAUUUUAAUGUACUCGCAAGCGCACGAAUCUAUUGUAGUAUAGAUCAAUGGUGUUGAGUGUCGAUCCCACGAGGAGGUGGAUUUUAAUUGUGUAUCGAAUUAAUUUUGUAAAUGAGUGGUUGGAUUUAUGGUGGAAAUGAUUUGGAAUAUGUUAAGACUUAAAUUAAAAUGGCGAGAAUAAAUUCUAAAAUUGGAAUUGCAAUGGAGAGAAUAAAUUGAAGAGAAUUAUAUUGAAAUGACGUACUUGGGUAUCUGGAUCCGUAUCAACAUGCAUCAUGGGCUAAAUAAUCCGUAUUAAUGCCAAUUAAAUCAUGAGGGGGGAAUCCACACCUCAUGAACCACGCUCUAAUCAAUAUGGUGCUAAGGGCUUAUCGUGCCAAAUAAUAAUAACCUUAUACUAGAGAGCCGGUGUAACCAAGGCGGUAUCUAGACAAGAUUAGUAUUAUUUGUCGACGAGAAGUCAAAACAUCCACAAAAACUAGAGGGGAAGAGAAAAUAAAUUUACCAAAUUAAGCCCAUGACACAUGUUGAGACUUCACCUUCAACCCAAGCUUGAAAGAAAAUUAGCCACUCAUAAUUGAACUAGGGGCAAAAUGGGAAUUUAUUAAA